rnacentral:rRNA from 1 species
GACGAACGCUGGCGGCGUGCUUAACACAUGCAAGUCGAACGGAAAGGCCCUGCUUUUGUGGGGUGCUCGAGUGGCGAACGGGUGAGUAACACGUGAGUAACCUGCCCUUGACUUUGGGAUAACUUCAGGAAACUGGGGCUAAUACCGGAUAGGAGCUCCUGCUGCAUGGUGGGGGUUGGAAAGUUUCGGCGGUUGGGGAUGGACUCGCGGCUUAUCAGCUUGUUGGUGGGGUAGUGGCUUACCAAGGCUUUGACGGGUAGCCGGCCUGAGAGGGUGACCGGCGCGAGUGGGGAGGAGACGCGGAGCAGGCCGAGGAGAGGGGCCGGAGGGGGGAAUAAUGAAGGGUGGGCGGAAGGCGGAGGCGGCAAGGGGGGGGGCGGGGGGACGGUGUUCGGGGUGUACGCCGCGUGGGCGUGGGACGAGGGGGGAGCGCCGGUAAGGAGGAACGGAGCACCGGCGAAGAACGUGGCAGCGGCAGGGGAAAGAGUGGGAAGAGAAAACGUCGAACC